rnacentral:rRNA from 1 species
GACGAACGCUGGCGGCGUGCUUAACACAUGCAAGUCGAACGGAAAGGCCCUGCUUUUGUGGGGUGCUCGAGUGGCGAACGGGUGAGUAACACGUGAGUAACCUGCCCUUGACUUUGGGAUAACUUCAGGAAACUGGGGCUAAUACCGGAUAGGAGCUCCUGCUGCAUGGUGGGGGUUGGAAAGUUUCGGCGGUUGGGGAUGGACUCGCGGCUUAUCAGGUUGUUGGUGGGGUAGUGGCUUACCAAGGCUUUGACGGGUAGCCGGCCUGAGAGGGUGAACAGCGACCUUGGGCCUGCGAGAGGGAGCAGAGUCGUACGGGAGGCAGCAGUGGCGAAUCUUGUACAGUGAUCGGGAGCGUAGUGCAGCAACGCCGCGUUUGGGAUGACGGCCUUUGCGUUGUAAACCGCUUUUGGUUGAGACCCAGCGUUAGUGACGGUAAUGGGUAAAGAAGCACCGGCUAACUACGUG